GACGAACGCUGGCGGCGUGCCUAACACAUGCAAGUCGAACGGAAAGGCACUGCUUGCGUGGGGUGCUCGAGGGGCGAACGGGGGCGUAACACGUGAGCAACCUGCCCUUGACUUUGGGAUGACUUCAGGAAACGGGGGCUAAUACCGGAUAGGAGCCCCCGCUGCAUGGAGGGGGUUGGAAAGUUUCGGCGGGUGGGGAUGGACGCGCGGCUUAUCAGCUAGUUGGUGGGGGAGGGGCUUACCAAGGCAUUGACGGGUAGCCGGCCUGGGAGGGUGACCGGCCACCUUGCGCCUGCGAUACGGCCCAGACUCCUACGGUGGGCAGCAGUCGGAAGUAUUGCCCAAUGGUCGGGCGCCUGAUGCGGCGACGCCGCGUUCGUGAUGACGGCCUUCGGGUUAUAAACCGCUUUCGCCUGUGACGAAGCGUGAGUGACGGUACUGGGUAAAGAAGCACCGGCUAACUACGUG
rnacentral:rRNA from 1 species